rnacentral:sRNA from 1 species
UGCCCACCUCGGCCUCCCAAAGUGCUGGGAUUACAGGCAUGAGCCAUGUGAGGCUGUGCCUGGCCUCAAGGUUUGGUCUUGAUUUACUAACUACAUGUUUCUAAGUAGGGGAAAGGCAUGGAAGUAACAUUUUAAAUAGAUUAAUGGAUUUGUAUCAGUCUUAAAUAUAAAAGUUGCUAGUAAUGUAUAUCUCUUUUAUAUAUUUGAAAAAUUUUUUUAAAAUUGUUUUGUUUAUUGUUUUUAGAGUGCUUUAUUCAAUAGUCUAAAAACAUUUAUUACUAAUGUUUAUAAUCACUGUAAAACUUCAAAUACUAAAGUAGAUUAUGUAUGCUUUAGGAUGAGUUGGAUUUUUUUCAUUUUACCUGUCUAUGAUAAUUUGAUAAGAAUUGUAACUUCUGUCUUAAGUUUAUUGGUUAUAUCUCAUUGGUGACAGUUUUAUUACUGAAAAACCAAUAAAAGAAACUACAUUAGAAUGUGAAAAAAAUACAAUGCCAAUAAUAAAUUUAAACAACUUCUCUAUUAAGCAUUUUAUAGGUACAAUAUUUGUGUUUUUCUUUUUAAGAGAACAUCGUGUGGAUGACUCAGGAAGACAGUGUAAAAGUAUUAAUUUUGAAGAAGCAAGUACAGAUGAAGCUCAGGUUCCCCAAGGAAAUAUUGACCAGGUUGCUGUUGUGGCCAUCAAUGUUCUGUUUUUUGUGGCUCUAUUUAUCUUUGCCCUUUUUGAAACCAUCAUUACUCCAUUAACAAUGGAUAUGUAUGCCUGGACUCAAGAACAAGCUGUGUUAUAUAAUGGCAUAAUACUUGCUGCUCUUGGGGUUGAAGCAGUUGUUAUUUUCUUAGGAGUUAAGUUACUUUCCAAAAAGAUUGGCGAGCGUGCUAUUCUACUGGGAGGACUCAUCGUUGUAUGGGUUGGCUUCUUUAUCUUGUUACCUUGGGGAAAUCAGCUUCCCAAAAUACAGUGGGAAGAUUUGCACAAUAAUUCAGUCCCUAAUACCACAUUUGGGGAAAUUAUUAUUGGUCUUUGGAAGUCUCCAAUGGAGGAUGACAAUGAAAGACCAACUGGUUGCUCGAUUGAACAAGCCUGGUGCCUCUACACCCCGGUGAUUCAUCUGGCCCAGUUCCUUACAUCAGUUGUGCUAAUGGGAUUAGGCUAUCCAGCCUGCAAUCUUAUGUCCUAUACUCUGUAUUCAAAAAUUCUAGGACCAAAACCUCAGGGUGUAUACAUGGGCUGGUUAACAGCAUCUGGAAGUGGAGCCCGGAUUCUUGGGCCUAUGUUCAUCAGCCAAGUGUAUGCUCACUGGGGACCACGAUGGGCAUUCAGCCUGGUGUGUGGAAUAAUAGUGCUCACCAUCACCCUCCUGGGAGUGGUUUACAAAAGACUCAUUGCUCUUUCUGUAAGAUAUGGGAGGAUUCAGGAAUAAACUAGUUAAGACUGUGAUGGAAACUACUUGCUGUGUGGCAUUUUCUGGUCUAAAGCUCUGCUAGACAAUUGCGGUGAGCCAGCUUCCAAGAAUCAGACUACAGAUACUGCAGAUUUUGAAGAACAAGAACAACAGAGAGAAUUUUACAUGUCGUUGUGAAUAGUAGGUUAUAUAAAAACAUACUAGAUCAUAAUUUCCUUACCUCAGAAAUGAAAUAUUAUUCUUAUAAUACCUUUUUGUGGUUGCAUGAACUAAUGAGUGAAUGGACAAUGAUGAAUA